rnacentral:snRNA from 1 species
AAGCCCGGGCUUUUGAUACGCUUGUGGAG